UUAUUGUUUUGGAGUGCCUGUUGUGGUCUUAUUCACCAGUAUAAAGUAAUCACAGCAGGCUGCAGUUAUUUCACUGUUCAUAUUUUCAAAAACUGUCUAAAAAAAGAUCUACUUAUGGAUGCAUUAAUGUAAUAAGUUUAUCCA